rnacentral:lncRNA from 1 species
AUUGUUAGUCAUAUGCUAGAUUGGCUCGACUCGAGUUCAUUUGUGAAUCUUAUGAAAAUUCUUUUUCAGUAUUCAUAUUUGCUUUGGCCAAAAACUUUCUGAACUUAGUCUUGCAAAUUGCAUAGGACUUCUUCUUUUCUACCAAGAUCGAUAAAUUUUAUCUAGGUGCAUUCUACUCCAAACAGCGAAUCUGAACCUACUAAAGCCAACAUACACAGUAAAGAUCUGAAUGGCUAAGGAUCAAGGGAACGUGCAGUCCAAUCCAGUAGCCUCAUUG